UACAGAGGUCUCAAGCGUUGUUCGGAUUCAUUGGGCGUAAAGGGUGCGUAGGUGGCGUCGUAAGUCAGGUGUGAAAUCUCGGGGCUCAACCCCGAAACUGCACUUGAUACUGCGAAUGCUUGAGUAUUGGAGAGGAGAUUGGAAUUUACGGUGUAGCAGUGAAAUGCGUAGAUAUCGUAAGGAAGACCAGUGGCGAAGGCGAAUCUCUGGACAAUUACUGACACUGAGGCACGAAGGCCAGGGGAGCAAACGGG
rnacentral:rRNA from 1 species